rnacentral:rRNA from 1 species
AGUACCCGCGGUAAUUCCAGCUCCAAUAGCGUAUAUUAAAGUUGUUGCAGUUAAAAAGCUCGUAGUUGAAUUUCGGGAUCAAUAUUUCGGUCAUGCCGUUGGUAUGCACUGUUAUCAUUGAUUUCUCACCUUCUAAAGAACCGUAAUGCCAUUAAUUUGGUGUUACGGGGAAUUAGGACUGUUACCUUGAAAAAAUUAGAGUGUUUAAAGCAGGCUCACGCUUGAAUACAUUAGCAUGGAAUAAUGAAAUAGGACAUCCGAUUCUAUUUUGUUGGUUUCUAGGAUCGAUGUAAUGAUUAAUAGGGAUAGUUGGGGGCAUUAGUAUUCAAUUGUCAGAGGUGAAAUUCUUGGAUUUAU